rnacentral:rRNA from 1 species
CAGGGGGGGGGGGGGGAUUUCCCCGUGUUCCCCGGGAAAUGCGUGGUUAUGGGGGGGGACACCCAAUGGCGAAGGCGGGUUUUUGGGGCCCCCCCCUGCCCGUUGAGGAGGGAAAAGCGUGGGGUGGCGAACAGGAUUAAAUUACCCUGGUAGUUCCCCCCCGUAAACCGUUGGGCCAUAGGUGGGGGGGCCUUUCCAUUGGUUUUGGCCCGUAGCUAACGCAUUAAGUGCCCCCCCUGGGGAGUACGGCCGCAAGGCUAAAACUCAAAGGAAUUGACGGGGGCCCGCACAAGCGGCGGAGCAUGCGGAUUAAUUUGAUGCAACGCGAAGAACCUUACCAAGGCUUGACAUACACCGGAAUCAUGCAGAGAUGUGUGAGUCUUCGGACUGGUGUACAGGUGGUGCAUGGUUGUCGUCAGCUCGUGUCGUGAGAUGUUGGGUUAAGUCCCGCAACGAGCGCAACCCUUGUCUCGUGUUGCCAGCAUUUAGUUGGGGACUCACGAGAGACUGCCGGGGUUAACUCGGAGGAAGGUGGGGAUGACGUCAAAUCAUCAUGCCCCUUAUGUCUUGGGCUUCACGCAUGCUACAAUGGCAAGUACAGAGUGUUGCGAGCCUGUGAGGGUGAGCGAAUCACUUAAAGCUUGUCUCAGUUCGGAUUGGGGUGUGCAACUCGACCCCACGAAGUCGGAGUCGCUAGUAAUCGCAGAUCAGCAACGCUGCGGUGAAUACGUUCUCGGGCCUUGUACACACCGCCCGUCAAG